rnacentral:rRNA from 1 species
UACGUAGGGCGCAAGCGUUAUCCGGAAUUAUUGGGCGUAAAGAGCUCGUAGGCGGUUUGUCGCGUCUGCCGUGAAAGUCCGGGGCUCAACUCCGGAUCUGCGGUGGGUACGGGCAGACUAGAGUGAUGUAGGGGAGACUGGAAUUCCUGGUGUAGCGGUGAAAUGCGCAGAUAUCAGGAGGAACACCGAUGGCGAAGGCAGGUCUCUGGGCAUUAACUGACGCUGAGGAGCGAAAGCAUGGGGAGCGAACAGGAUUAGAUACCCGUGUAGUCC